AGGUAGGCUCCAUUGGCCCAUGAUGGACAUGAGAAGGGAAGAGAGUCCGUGUGGGACUCGAGUGUACCCAUAUGCAAAAAGGAAAAAUAAAGAAAUUAAAGUAUGCUCAAAUGUGUAUAAAGACUAGGAUACAUUGAAGGGACUGCCACUAAUCGUAAAAGCAAGCAACACUGAAAAUUUAAAUUAAACAUUGGUAUUAAUAAAAUGAACAAAAAGGCCAAAAUUUGACAUUUGAACUAAAUUCAUGAAAAAGGCUAUCAUUUAUGCUAGACCUGAUGCGGCAAAAAUAAGUAUAGAGAAUCUACAGAAAUGUGAGAAAAUUACCCCCUUAUCUUUUAAACAAAUAUCAAUGAUUAAACAAAUACCAAUAAAUCAAGACAGGGAAGUUCGGAGAAAAAUCCCAUCAGGAAAUAUCUAAAGCAAGACAUUCAAAUAGUAGUUCAAACAAGGAUAGAAGAAAAUUGCAGAUUCAGUGAUAAAGAAAGAUUUUUUCCGGACGAACAACAAAUAAAUAAAAGGAAAUUAUGAAGGGUUGCAAAAUAUUUUGCCAAUUUCGGACUUAGCAUGCACUUGUUUGAAGCUUGCUAUCAUUUUUCACUAAGGAAAAAAUCUUAUAGAACCUUAGAAUCAAGCUAUUCAAGCAGACAAUGCACCCACGCCAAACAAAAUUGAUUCGAAAUCACCCUAAGCUUUUCUCUACAUUAACAUUCCUAAAGGUCCAUAGUAUUAUAGUAUUUUAACUACUUCUUCCAAAGAAAUAUCAUGGACAUAAAAAUUGCAAUGUAAUGCAUUAUUCAUAUCAAAAUAGGGAAAAGAAGACUUGAUACAAUCGAAUAAAAACCCAAGUUUUUAAUCAAAUGAAAGAGGUUCAAGUAGGGAUUCGUAGAAUGGUAACAAGAUUAAGUCAAGUAGAAAAUGAAAGGAGAUCACUAAAUCCUAAAAGAAAACAAACAAUUGAGAUAUAACGAAGAACAUUCAGCAACAAGAUUACGAUUAUUCGAAAAGCACCAACAUGUUCAUCAUAGAAUCCUACAGCUUAUCAAAGCCCUUAACAACAGGCUAUUCCCAAAGGAUACAACAGAUACCCCUAGAAAAACAAAGUUACAAUGAUGACUAUAGCAACUAUAAAGGAAAAAGAGAUGAGGAAGAAAACGAUCAAAUCAGGAGGAAAACAAAGUGUGUUUACCUAUUUAAAAGAAGCAAAUGGGAUGGCGAGCUAAGGUAGAGAUACGCAGCCUCCACAAAAUGACGUCUUCAUCACCUCAAACCCUCAAUCAAUCAACUAACCCUCGAGGCUUCCGAUUAAACAGUUCGCUUUCAAAGAAGCAGAAGCGAGAUAACCUUACUAAAGAUGAUGAUGCUCUAAAAAGUUUUCUUCUCCUUUAUUUCUUUCCAGAAUUUUUCAACCUAAAUUCCCCCUAAAAAAUCUUUUUAUUUUGAACCAAAAUCAACCAAAAACCCAAUUUUUGAACCUAACCCAGAAAGAAAAGAGAAGAACCCCCUAAAAUUUUCGCACCCCCUUUCGACCCUAAUUUUUGACUCCCCAAAAAAAUCCCCUAACAAUGACCCAAAUGGGUUCUUAUAUAGAAGAAAGAUUGGGGUAUUUUAGAGACUUAAGAAAUAGGAUCUUUUGAAUUCAUGUUUCGGAUAGGAAUUUCCAGCUAACAAACUUGUACAAGUUUUGAUUCUUCAGAGAAUUUCGAAUUGGUUUUAACCAAUAGGAAGAAAUGUAGAAAUCCCCCCCUCCCUCAAAAAAACCAAUGAAAUUCUCCCAUCUUUGUACAAAUUCAUACCUUCUCAGCUAAGAAUAGCGGUAUUGAAAUCGUUGGAGAGGCCAACACAUUGAUUUAUAGAAGUUUCUUAGCAUUUUCAUAACAAACACAUGCCAUCCAGGUGGGUCAAAGUUGGGUCGAUGCUAGGAGGAUAUUUUUUGCUAAAUUUUGGGUUAAAGGUAACGAGUCAGGUCGCGAAGUUAAUGGAUUUUAGUCGGGUUUUGGCUUGUUGAAGUUGUAUGUUGUUGAAUGGUUGUUGGAAGAUGCUGAAGGAUAUAAAAUGGAUUGUUGAUGCUGGGAUAGGUCGGUUAUGUGUUUGGGCCAAGUGGAAUUGUUGUAAUUACUGUUGGUGGUGUGAAAUUGGGCCUUGGUUGGUUUUGGAGCAAUUGAGCCUUAAAUUGGGGUUAUUUAAUAACCCCUAUUAAAUCUAAUUGGGUUAUUAAAUAAUCUUAAUUAAAUUUAAUUAGAUUAAAAAAAUUACAAUUAAAUUUUAUUGGAUUAAGAAUAACUCAAAUUAGAUUUAAUCGGAUUAAAAUAAUCCCAAUUAAAAAUGGUAACUGGGGAUUAAGAUUAUAAUUUAGGCAACUUAUUUAAACUCUAACCAAAUUGAAUAUCUCAUCGCUCAAUUGCUUUACAAUUGGGGCCAAUUUGAUAUCAAUUAGAGUCAAAUUUAAUAAAUUGACUAAAUCAAAUCGAAAUUCGAUAUGAAUUAACACCUUGUUUAAUCUUCGGCUUCUUGAUUCGAUAAAAUUGAAUAAAUAUUUCUCCAAAUAGAUUAUUUUUUAGAAUAAAUCAUAUUUAAAUCAAGAUUUCAACCAUUUGAAUUUAUUUUCAAAAUAAUCCUUGAUUAAAAUUUGAUAUUUCAUAAAAUAGUUAUUUAAGUAUCAAAAUUACAUAAUUUUGUAUAAUUGAAUACGAUAAUGUAUAAUCGUCUCUUAAAAUGACAAACUUUCCCAAAUGAAUAUUUUGUGAAAGUUUCUUUUUAGAUGAAGCAACUAUGUUGAUUUUAUUAAAAACUGAAGAAGCUCAAAAUUAAACUUGGUUGUGGAGGGCAAAAAUUAGGUGUCAACAACUGCCCUCUCCCUUUGGGUAGGAUGGAUGCAAGUAAUCUGGGCUAAGGUAGGUUGACAUUCUUAAUUUUUUGUUCGACCACAAAUUCGUAUCUAAGAGAGGUUGAUUUUUUGCACGAGUUUCAUGGAGUUAUGGCCUAACUUCGGUAUCAGGUUUUCUACAUAUCUCAGGUUUAAUGAGAAUUCAGGCCACUUGUAGUUCAUAAAUCUUGAUUUUAAGCAUGAUUUUCAAGAAAAUUCACCAACUAUCAUGAUUUUAGAGUUUUUGGUUAAAUCGAGAAGCUCAAAUAAAGGGAUUCGGGGGAGGUUGGAAUGCAGUCGAGUUUUCUACACAGAACCCGGCCUAUAUCCCCAAGAUUUUAGGAAAUCAGACUGCUUGUAGUUUGACUUGAUUGGUAGAAAAGAUAAUGUUCUUUUUCAGACGAUCUUUGGCUCGGGAUGAGUGACAAGUUAAUGAUCGAGUUGUGGAAAAGAGGCUUAUAACCUCUUAACCAUGAAUGUGGGAUCCUUCACAUCCAUAGGUAAGAACUUACUUGGACAUAAUUUCCAAAACUCUAGGUGUGUUGUCUCCCGAAUUUAAAGAAAAAGACGAUUACCCUCGACAUGAGUUGAGAAAUAUCCCAGAGGCGAAGAUGAAACUACAAUAUAUUGAGAUACCCACAUUUCUUCUAAUAGGGGUAUGGUUGGAUGGUGGUGGUGCUCAUCCUUUAGAUGCGUCCAAAGAGUUUGACAUCCCUCUUUAGACUAUAUCCCAUUUUGCUGCUAAGAAAGAGUUCCACGUUGUGCGGCAUCCUUUUUGGAGUCAUCCACACCUUUGGCUUUGAUUUGAGGUGUUUGUCCUCUCAGAUGCUCUCAACAAUGCUUUAAGAAAAAGUGUUAGUGAUAAACAUAAUUCACGAAAGAGGUAUGUAGUUUUUUACCAUAUCUCCACGUGAGUUGUGACCUGAAAAGCGGAGUCAUCUCUUCAUGUACCUAUUUGGAAUGAAAUAACUGGCAAAAACAAACACAACAACCCUCUUGGUUUUUGUAUAAUUAUGAUAUUUGUCGGUUGAAUAUGUCUUUAGAGUGAGGUGGCCCUUUUGGACACCGACAAUACUUUAUGCAGAACGGUCUCUACAACCGUGUAAUCUUGUGCUGGUGUGGAAACCCUUUUGGUUACCUAUACCACUUAUUGUAUAUGGAAUGAUAAGCUCUCUGAUUAUAGCCAAUGAUCAAUUUAUAAAUUUCCCUUAAAUUGUCAAUCUUUGGAUAAUCUUGCACAUUAUUUGAUGUUGGAUACGAGGUGACUUAUAGAUAUCCUUUGAAUUGAUAGCUUUUAGGUAAUCCUGCACAUUAUCCAACCUUGGAUAAGAGAUGGCUUACAAAUAUCCCUCCAAUUGCUAGCUUUUAGGUGUUCCUGCAUAUCAUCCGACCUUGGAUACAAUAUGAAUCACUCAAAUUGCUAGUCCUUGGGUAAUUCUGCACAUAAUUGAUCUUGGAUAUGACACGGCUUAUAGAGAGCCCUUGGACGUAUCAAUUUGAUAAUCUCUAUUCUCCGAUAAGGAUUUAGUUGCGACUUAUGGAUAACCUUUAGGCUAUCAAUUUUUGGGUAAUAUUACACACUAUUCGAUUAGGAUAUUGUUGUGGUUUAUGGAUGACUUACGGGCUAACAACUCAUAGGUGAUCUUGCAAACUAUCCUAUUUCAAAUAAUAUGACUUAUAGAUGACCUUCAAAUUAUCAAUUUCUAGGAAAUGUCAUCUAUCAUUCAUCUUUAGACACCGACUUAAAGGCAUCCCUUUAAAUUAUAUGCUCAUGAUGCAUUUAGAUACUGAUUUAUUAAAUGAUGAGAUAUCCUCGAUGCCAGCAUUUGUGUCUAGCGUGUCAACAGAUAUUAAAUGCUGAUGAUAUCCUCGACGCCAGCAUUUAUGUCUCGAGUGUCAACAGAUAUUAAAUAUUGAUGAUAUCCUUGAUGCCGGAAUUUAUGUCUUUCAUGUCAAAAGAUACGAAAUACUGAUGAUAUCCUCGAUGCCAACAUUUAUGUCUUACGUGUCAACAGAUAUGAAAUGCUGAUGAUAUCCUUGAUGCCAGGGUUUAUGUCUUGCAUGUCAACAGAUAUGAAAUGCUGAUGAUAUCUUCGAAGCUAGUGUUUAUGCCUUCCUUGGCAACAAAUAUUGAAUGGCCUUUCUGGCAUAAAAUAGACUUCUCAGCGAUGAUAUGAAUGGCCCUCUUGGCAAUGAUAUGAAAUGACCCUCUUGGCAAUGAUAUGAAUGGCCCUCUUGGCAAUGAUAUGCAAUGGCCCUCUUGGCAAUGGUAUGAAAUGGACCUCUUGGCAAUGAUAUGAAAUGGCCCUCUUGGCAAUGAUAUGAAAUGGCCCUCUUGGUAAUUAUAUGCAAUGGCCCUCUGGGCUAUGAUACGAAGUGGCCCUCUUGGCAAAGAUAUGAAAUAACUCUCUUGGAAAUUUGAAAACAGUUUCACCUGAGUUUGUUUGCCCGUAUCUUGCUUUUUACAUGUACCUGUGCUUGAAGUAGACGAUUAGUAGACACAAAGUCUCUUUUGCUAGCGACCAUUUUUUAUAAAAAUUCUAAAUACAAUAUUCGUAAAGAAAAUAAAAUGCCUUUGUUUGUCCUCCAUGAUCUUAAAAAAUGAGAUAGACAAUUCAAAUGGUCCUCGAUAAAUGGGUAUUAAACCUAUUUUUGGGCUACCCAAAAAUACCAUUCUUAAGCAUUAUAUGUUCUGGCAUGGCUCCCGACUUACUUGGAGAUUUUUUGAAAGAAACACUCAUUUUUUAUAUCGAUCCCUGCAUCCACAGAAAAAUGAUUAGUUUGAAUAAAACUACUCCGUAUUGACUUUCUUGUCUGCUCGGUUUGCUCCUCGCUAUCUUUCAGGUGCCCCAUCACAUUGGUACCUCCACCCUGGCUCCUUACUCCCAUAGACUCCUAGGCAAUCAUUAAGUAAAAGAUUUGUAAAGAUUUUUUUUCAAAAGUAGCAUUAUUUUUAGCAAAUAGUUUUGAAAGUAUCUAUAAAAGCUUUAAAAAAUCUCUGUCAGUCAUGUCAUGUACUAGCUCAACAAACAUAUUCCUUGUGGCUUUGACUAUAUCUAAUGAUGAUUUUCAAAAAUCAUGGCCAUUGUUGGAGGGUUCUUCAAAUAGUUCUAUCAUAGCUAGAAAUUGAGUCCACCUAGACUUUGUCACAACUGGUGACUUUAAGAGCCUGGCUUUAACCUCUGGUGCCGAGGAAUUUGAAAUAUAUUCUAGUAUUUGGGUGGAAAUUUUGAGGCCUCCCUCAAAAUUUCUGCCCCAGUUUAAAGUAGUCUGAUUUGAUAUCAUCUCAAGUGGAUCUGAAGUCUUUUCUGAUCUUUAUUCUCUUUGUUGGAUGUUGAUCUUCUCUUGUGAGGUUUCAAGAUUCCUUCUCAAAAAUUUUGCCCCAGUUUCCAUUUCCUUGGGUUAUAUGACCGAGCCGUUGGAGUUCUUAUAUAUCCCAUUGAAUCAGGAAUUAGGUCAAACGUAGUUCAAGACUAUGCUAUGGAUAUACAAAAAGAAAUUAAUGGGUUGACCAAAGUCGACAUAGGCCUCCUAUGUAUCCCUUUCAUGGGAAUUCAGGUCAAACAUAGUUCAUACAUAAAGGGAAAGGACCAAUUUUCCUAAGGGGUUGACCGAAGAUGACAUAGGCCGCCUACAUAUCUCAUUCUUAGGAAUUCAGGUCAAAUGUAGUUCGUAUAUAAAGGGAAAGGAAAAUUAUUUCUAAGGGGUUGACCGAAGUUGACAUAGGCCACCAACGUAUCCCGUUCUUGGGAAUUCAGGUCAAAUGUAGUUUGUACAUAAAAGAAAAGGGAUUCUAGGUAGUUACGCAAUAGAAAACAACAUUACUACAAAGGCAAUAACAAGUAAACUAAGGAAACACAAAAACUAGAACAUCGUUCAAACAUAAUAUCUUUUUACUGCAUCAAAAUUGAUUGGUUUGGUCCACUCUUGACCAUCUAUUUUUGACAAAAUCAAAGCCACUCCAGAUAGUACCUUGCGAACUAUGUAUGGACCUUGCCAAUUUGGAGCGAACUUGCCCUUGUACUCUUCCUAGUGAGGAAAUAUGCACUUGAGAACCAAUUGCCCAACUUCGAAUGUUUGAGUUCUUACUUUCUUGUUAAAGGAAUGAACUAUCUUGUGCUGAUACAACUGACCAUGACAUAUAACAACCAUUCUAUUUUUAUCAAUCAAUAUGAGUUUUUCAUAGAGAGCGCGAACCCAUUCUUUGUUCCUUAGUUCGGCUUCCUGAAUAAUCCUUAGGGAACGUAUUUCAACCUCAACAGGUAUCAUAUCUUCAUUCCCAUAAACCAAUAGAUAAGGAGUCGCCCCGGUGGAGUUUCAAACUGUCGUGCGAUACCUUAGCAAAGCGUAAGGCAACAUCUCAUGCCAUGAUCUAUCAUUUUCGAUCAUCUUUGUCAAGAUCUUCUUGAUGUUUUUAUUGGCAGCUUCCAUGGCUCCAUUCAUCUGUGGACGAUAUGCAGUCGAGUUGUGAUGCACUAUUUUAAAUUGAUCACAAAUAUCAUUCAUCAAGUGACUAUUUAAGUUUGACCCAUUAUAAGUAAUGAUCGAUUCUGUCACUCUAAAUUGGCAGAUCAAGCUAUUCCUGAAGAAAUCUGCAACCACUUUCUUAGUGACGGCUCUAUAUAAAGCAGCUUCGACCCACUUAGUAAAGUAGUCAAUAGCAACCAAAAUAAAUCUAUGCCCAUUCGAUGCUGGUGGCUCUAUUGGUUUGAUAACAUCCAUGCCCCAAGCUAUGAAAGGCCAAGGUGAAUUCAUUGCAUGAAGCUCAUGUGGAGGCAUUCGAAUAAAAUCUCUGUGCAUCUGACAUUUUGGACACUUCUGCACAUACCUGCUACAAUUAUUUUCUAUAGUCAUCCAGAAGUAACCAGUUCUCAGGAUCUUUCUAGCAAGGGUGAACCCAUUUAUGUGGGGCCCACAAACUCCAGCAUGUACUUUUAUCAAUUUAUUGGCUUCCAAAACAUCGACACAUCUUAAGAAUCCCAAAUCUGGAGUCCUCUUAAAAAGGAUUUCCCCACUUGAAAAAUAGUUCUUCGCCAAACGCCGGAUUGUUUUCUUUUAGUUGUUACUGGCCUCUUCAGGAUAUAUUCUAGAUUCUAAAUACCUUUUGAUGUCAUAAUACCAUGGCUUUCCAUCUGUCUCCUCUUCAUUGUGUGUACAAUAGGUGGGUUGCUCCUUUAAGCUUAUUUUCAAAGGAUCAAUGUAACUCUGAUCUGGGUGCUGAAUCAUGGAGGAUAUAGUGGCCAAAGCGUCAGCAAACUCAUUUUGUAUCCUUGGGAUAUGUCUGAAAUCAACUUCUUUGAAUUUUCCACAUAAUUCCUGCACCAGCUUCACAUAAGGAGUAAUCUUAUAAUUUUUUACCGUCCAUUCUCCCCGUACCUGAUAAAUCAGUAAGUCUGAAUCCCCGAUGACUAACAAUUUAUGAACGCCUAUAUCAAGUGCCAAUUUGAGACCUAAGAUGCAAUCUUCAUAUUCGGUCAUGUUAUUGGUGCAUCGGAAAUGUAACUUAGUAGUUACCGGAUAGUGUUGACUCAUUUCUGACACCAAAACUGCUUCGAUUCCUAAACCUUUGAAGUUGAUCGCCCCAUCAAAGAAUUGCCUCCAGUAGGGGUAAAUUUUUGUAAUGUCUUAUCCUACGAAUAAAAUUUCUUCAUCUGGGAAAUAAGUUCAAAGUGGCUCAUAUUCAUCAUCAACCGGAUUCUCUGCCAAAUGAUCUGCUAAAGCUUGCCCCUUGAUUUCCCUUUGAGUUAUAUACACAAUGUCAAACUCACCCAGCAACAUUUGCUAUUUGGCUAGCUUUCCCGGGGGUAUAGCUUUCUGACAUAUAUACUUUAAUGGAUCUAUUCUCGAGAUAAGGUACGUGGUAUAUGAGGACAGGUAAUGCCUCAACUUACGUGGUAUAUGAGGACAGGUAAUGCCUCAACUUUUGUGCGGCCUAAGUAAAAGCGCAACAUGUCCUUUCUACGAGAGUGUAACGGGCUUCAUAUGGAGUAAAAUUUUUACUCAAGUAGUAGAUGGAUAUCUCUUUCCUAUUGGUCUCAUCAUGUUUCCCGAGGACAUAUCUGAAAGCAUUUUCUGAAACUGAUAGAUAUAGCGUCAAUGGAAUUGCUUCUCUGGGUGGAACCAAAACCGGUGGUGCAGACAAAUAUUCCUUGAUACGGUCGAAAGCUCUUUGACAUUUUUUUGUCCACUCAUUCAAUGCAUUUUUCUUCAACAUCUUGAGAAUUUGCUCGCAUAUGACUGUUGACUGAGCAAUGAACCUGCUAAUGUUAUUCAAAAAGCCCAUGAAACUCAUAACCUCCUUCUUGGUCCUCAGGGUGGCAAGUGCUGAAUUGUAUUAAUUUUGGAUGGGUCUAGCUCGAUGCCUCUCCUACUAACUAUGAAUCCCAGUAACUUCCCUGAUGGCACACCAAAAUCACACUUAGCAGGAUUUAACUUCAAAUUGUAUUUUCUUAAUCUAUUGAAGAAUUUCUCCAGAUAGGUCAGAUAAUCCAAACUCUCACGGGAUUUGUUAAUUACAUCAUCCACGUACACCUCAAUCUCUUUAUGAAUCAUAUCAUGGAAAAUUGUCAUCAUAGCCCUCAUAUAUGUUUCACCCAUAUUUUUGAGACCAAAAGGCACUACCUUGUAAUGAUAAACACCCCAGGGCGUAAUAAAAGCCGUCUUUUCUGCGUCUUCCUCAUCCAUCAAUAUCUGAUGAUACCCGGCAAAACAAUCAAUGAAAGAUUGCAUUACAUGUUUUGCAAAAUUAUCAAUGAGGAUGUGGAUGUUGGGCAGCAAAAAAUUAUCUUUAGGACUGGCUCUAUUCAAGUCUCUAUAGUCAACACAAAGUCGAAUCUUGACUUUUUUCUUUGGCACUGGGACAAUAUUGGCUAGCAUGUCGGAUAUUUUGUGACCUUCACAACCUUAGACUGGAUUUAUUUUGUCACCUCUUCCUUGAUAUUUAGACUUAAAUCUGGCUUGAAUUUCCGCAUUUUUUGCUUGACUAGAUCAAACUCAGGAUUUAUCGGCAACUUAUGUGACACAAUGAUGGUGCUCAAUCCCGGCAUACCAUCAUAGGACCAAGCAAACACGUUAAUGUAUUCCUACAAUAGGUGAAUGAGAUCUCUCUUUUAUGUUUCCACCAGUCUUUGAUUUCAUCAUGAUCUCCCAGGUUUACUGUUUCAAUUUCCUCUAGGUUGGGCUUCUCUCGGUUCUCAAACUCCUCUAUAUCUUCAACUAAUAGUUUCUCAUUACCUUUCUUUCAAUCAUCAUCAUUCCCCUCAUUUUGUUCAUCUAAGCUUUGACAUGACAUGACAUUGGCAGGUUUUGAGUUACUAUUACUAUAAUAAACAAACAAACCAAGUUAGAUGAUGAUAAGAUAAUAAUAAAAUAUAUGAAUAGUGGUGUUAAAAAUAUAUAUUUUUUUUUCAAAAUAAGGGAAGGCCUUUUCAUUGAAAUUUGAGAGAUAAUUACAAACUAUGGCUCAUGACUAGCGUAAAAACAAGCCCAUGCCUUUUGAAAGCAGUAAAAAUACGAAAACAAAUUAAGAUAUAAAGGGUGGAUCACGAGGUCUCCUCUAGUUUAUCACCGAUUUGAAAAACUACUAGUAAUUGCCCUUUCAUCUACCACGGUGGGUGAUGAGUUAUGAAUGGAGUGGAGGUCCAAUUUUGCAAGGCCUCCCCCGAUGCAAUCUUCUUCACCCCACUGGACUUUAGGAAAUCUUUUGGUACAACAUUGCAUUUCUCAAACAGAUUUCCUAUCCCAUCCCCAAGACCAUCAUCAUUUGGCAUCUCACACACGGGAAAUAAUUGAUACAGGAGGGUAAGGGACUAAACAGACUUGCCUCUGACUUAUUCUCAAUCUCAUUCUUCUUGGUAGUAUGAUAUCCCAACCCAUACUUAAAGGCUUAACGGGAUCAAUAAUUCCCUGCAGAUUCUUACCCAAACCUCGACCAGGCUCAAACCCACUUCUCAACAUCACAGUUGCAAUUAUUUUGUAGAAGAAGGCAUUGGAGCUUUGAGUGUCAGAUCCUUUUCCACAACAUUUAUAAUUUCCACUGUAUAGAAGCUACUACCCUUUGGAAUAUCUUCAAUCACUGGUACAUAACCAUUGGGAUAAUUUGCUCGGCUUUGUUCCCCUUAGAUGACUAUUUCAUGAUCCUCCCAAAUGAAUUUCAAUAACUGAUGAAGAGAUGAUAAAACUGCCUUUGCACCAUAUAUCCAUGGUCUUCCCAAAAGUAGGUUGUAACUAGGAUGAAUGUCCAUAACAUGAAACUUAGUCUUGAGUUCAGUAGGUCCCAUUUGGAUGUGUAAAUCAAUUUCACCUAUGGUAUCUCUUUACUUUACAUCAAAUGCUCUCACAUUUACGUGGCUUUAGAGAAUUUUCCCCAAGUCAUAGCCCAUUUGAACCAACGUGGAGAGAGGAUAAGUGUUCACACCAGAUUCGUCAUCUAUCAAUACCUGAUUAAUCACAUAGUCUCAACAAAUGAUAGUAACGUGCAAGGCCUUGUUAUGCAUCGCUCCUUCAAACGGCAACUCUUUAUCACUGAAUGAUAUGCGAUGACUUCCCACAAUAUUUCCUAUCAUCUUAGCCAGGUUCUCAACACUCGUCCCUGUGGGAACAUACGCUUCAUCCAAGACCUUUGAUAAAGCCAGUCGGUGGUAGCGAACUCAUUAAUAAUACCAAAAUAGAAAUUUGAGCCGGAGCCUUCUCUAAAUGUUUGACAAUUGAAUAGUCCUUUGGUUGCAUACGCCUCCAAAAUUCCUCAGCCUCCCCUUCAGUGAUUGGCCUUUUCUGUGAAUCUUUUUGUUGGUCAAUUCUUCAGGAAUGUAGCAUUGUCCAGAUUGGGUCAUCCCUUGGGAAGCAACGGUCUGUACAAUAAAUUCCUUCCUUAGCGGGGGAGUAUACACUUGAGUCAGGGCUGUCAUAACUAUAAAUGGGCCUUUCUCAUUAACACUUAAGACAACCACAACUCUCUCUAUCUUUUCUACCUCUUCCGCCCUUUUGUACUUUUCUGAAUUCACCUUAAUAAUAGUCUUGCCAGAUGCCCAUUCUCCUUAUAUUUCAAUCAUGUUAACAGUAGGUCCCCCAUGAUUAGGCAAUGGGUUACUGUUGACAUUUGGCAUCCGUGACUGAAGCGUGAUGACCUUUUGAUCAAUCAGAUCUUGUAUCUUAUGUUUUAAGAUAAUAUAGUCCUCGGUACUGCGCCCUACUGCUCCUGAAUGAUAGGCAUAAUUUUGAUUAGGUUGAUAAAAUUGGGAGUUGGGAUUGACAGGCUUUGGUUGGAUCUGUUGCAAAUGAUCAGCAUUCUUCAAUCUUUCAAAUAGUUGGGUACGACUUUCAGCCAGCGGCGUGAAGUUUCGGGGAGGUUUUUUUUUGAUGUUUGGACGCGGUGGGUUAUAAUGGUCCUGAUUUGCAGGAGGAGGCACUUGAUGAUAAUUUGGAGGUGCUUGGAUGUUUGUUCGGUUGUUUGAAAGAGUGGAUUGGACACGAGGCUGAUAAUUCGGCUGUGGACCUUGGUGUUGGGGAAAAAUAUUUGGCUGUAGAGCUUCACAUUGGGAUUUGACAUUUAGGAGUAGAGCUUGGUACUGGUGUUGGAUAUUUGGGAGUGGAGUUUGGUAUUAGGGUUGGAUAUUUGGGAAUGGAGCUUGAUAUUAGGGUUGAGUGUAGAAUACAUGAUGGAAGUUUGGUGACAGCGGAGAAGAGAAAAUAUUCCUAGAGUUGAACCUCUUUUUCAUUUUUGCAAUAGAAUCAGCAGAAAUUGUGCCUACAUCCUUAUUUUUCUUCUUCGAGAACAUAGCAGUCCCAGACGAUGUUGGGGUUUUGGUAAUUUUUUCUAUUCGAAUACCUUCUUCUAACGAUUCUCCUAUUUUUACCAAAUCUACAAAAGUCACUUAGACAGCGGACACCAUCCUGGUAUAAUAUUCUCCUUCUUGAGUGCGAGAGAAUACAUAUACCAUUUUUUCCUCAGACAUGGGGGGUUGCACUUUGGCAGCUUUUUUCCUUCAACGGAAAGCAUAGUUGCGAAAACACUCAUCACCCUUCUAUUUGAUCCGAUCUAAUGAAUAUCGGUCAGGGACUAUUUCAAUGUUAAAUGCGAACCUGUCAAGGAAACCCUUGGCCAAUGAUUUCCCACCAGUCCAUCUUUUUAGCUCCUGAGACAUGAACCACUCUAAGGCUUCGCCACUUAAACUUUGGCUGAACAGAUGCAUCAAUAAUGACUCAUUCUUUCCUACCCCCACCAUCUGAUCAUAAUACCUUUUUAGAUGGGCCAUUGGGUUUUCGGUACCGUCAAACACUUCAAACUUAGGGACCUUGUACCCUUCUGGUAGAUCUACUCUAGGGUGAACACAUAAAUCAUCAUACCCUAAACCGUCGUGGUCCCUAACUCUAUGAGAUUCUUUAACACUUAUGAUCUCUUCAUUUAUAGCUAACAGCUUCAUUUUAUGCUCGGUCCUCUACUCAUUCUCCUUCUCCUCGUAGUGGUCCAUCUCAGGAUUAGGAAGAGGAUUAUGGAUAUCAGGGGAUAUGAUAGAAUGAGGAGGAUUUGGAAGGGAGGUUUGAUUUUACAGAUGAAAAGAAGUUGGUUGGUAGGUGGGGAGGAUGUUUCAGAAAUUGGAAAGGUUCUGUGGAAUUUGCAAGUAGUUUGGUGGAAUCUGAGAAGGAUUUUGUGGAUUUGGAAAUGAAUUUAGUGGAUUCAGGGAUAGAUUUGAUGGAAGAUUCAGGGAUGGAUUUUGUGGAUUUGUGAGCGAAUCUUGUGGAUUUGGGUACGAAUUUUGUUGAUUUAAAAAUGGGUUCUGGAGAUUUGGGAAUGGAUUCGGAGAUGGGUUUUGUAGGGUUAGAGAUGGAUUUUGUGGAUGAUAGACAUCUGGGUUAUUUUCACGAUUGGUGUUUUGGACAAUUUGAGGAACGGAGAUGGACGAUGCGUUAUUUGGAUGAUUCCCGAGAAUAGGCGUACUGUGAGGAGAAAUUUGGAGUGGAGUCCUGUGUCCUCCUGGAGCGGGAGCAUUAACAGUGAUGGCUAGGUUAUCCAAAUCUCGAGUGCAAUUUAUUUCCUCCUAAAACAUUUUUAACUUCCUUCCAAUCUCUAUAAUCAUCUCAUUCUAUUCUGCUAUUACAUUGUCUCUGAUGGUCAAUGUGUUUUAUUCAUCAUUUCCAGUCAUUAUUGAAUGAUGGUCAGAGGAUGAGAUUUGGUGCGCCUUUGAAUGGGUGAAGUAGGGAUGUUCUUCCAGCUUAUAUCAACAUGGAGUAGUUUCUAUUAUCUGUAAAGUAAAACAACUCAAAGGCAAAUGUGUUAGUUUUCGUAUGUGAUAAGUAAUGCAAAAUAUUUGACAAGAAAUAACCAUAUAGAGUUGUUCGAGUCAUAGCCAAAUUCAUCCAUAGCGGAUAAACUUGCCUUUGAUCCACACAUAAGCACAUAAGACAAUUAUAUUAGACAAAACAUUAUAAUAAUGUGUAUCCUAACUGAGGUGACCCUUUUUGAGCCAAGGGUGCAGGCCUAAUGAUUUUGAAAAAUAUAUGCUUCCUUAAAGUCAAUCCAUUAUCCCCCAACUUAUAUAGACACGAAAAGGGAAUAAAUGCCUACAAAAGAUAACAAAAGAGGGAUACAAUCUUUAGGGAAAAAGGGAAAUAACAUGAAAUAAGAUAAGUUCCCACGCAAGGGAAAUAGAAAAACUAGCUACCGGAGGCUCCUUCGCAUGCCUUUGCAUUCUUUUCCUUGUUCCCCUCCUAUGUUAUUUGAUACUUAUUGAUGAUCAGAUGACUCCCGCAUAACUAUUCCUUACUAUCAUAAGUCAUUUUUCCUAUACUAUCGAGUUGGGAGGCCAUGCUAUCAUCCAAAUCGAUUAAACACUGCCUAGCAUCAUCAACCUCUUUUCUAGCUCUUUUCAACUCUUCACUCAACAUACGUAUUGUUAAAACAUCUUCUAUAUGCAUCUAUUGGUGUGUGAUUUCACUUUUCUGAAACUCAUCUUGAAGCUUGUGGAGUUGGAUUUGAUGCUUGGAUUCUACAUCCACGACCCGAGUGGGCACGUUCGACCCCAGAAUCAAUGCUCCGAAGAGGCUCUUUUUUAACCAAUCCUUAUAAGUGUUUCUGACUUCGGGUUCAUACCCUAUACGAAAAGAGACUUCCGUUCACCUUCUUCUUUUCCAUCCGUUUAUCAUGUAGUCUUUGAGCGGGGGCUCACUUUCAUCAUACUCGGUGAAGAAUCUGAGCAUAAAAUUAGUUUGAGGUGUCUUCUGCUUGAUCUCAAAUUUCCUAAGAACUCUGCCACGAUUGUAGGGACGGAUUCCCCUGAGACCCAAAAGUACUAGAAAAGGCCACUCGCCCCAUCAAAUAGUGUAUUAAUUUGAACAAAGGUAGUUAAUGGACCAUUGCACAUCGUCAUCCCUUAAUUCUCCAAGAGUCUUAAACCAAAAUUCAUGAGAUGUUUCCCUUUUGAACUUGUGUAGGAACAACCACAUGUCGUGCGAUUUUAGCUGAUUCCUUCUUGUUUUGUUAUCAGGUUGUACCAUUCUAGGAUUUUUCACUAGAUGCAUCAUCAUCCACUAUUACAAUAUAAGGUUGCAACCUUGAAAGAAAUGAUUCACGACUUGACAUCUUCCCAAAGCUCGAUAUAUGUCUGCGACAAUCAUGAGAGCUAAGUUGUGGAAUACCUUUUUAGAAUUGUACUCCAAUCCAAAGAAGAGUGCAUGGGUCACUGAGACAACCCUUGGAUGACUUAUGCCAUUUUCCCACUAAGGGAACACUAUGGUUCCAAGUAGGCCCACCGCAAAUGCAAAGGCUCUCGUCUCCUUCCAUUUUGCUUCUGACUCAAAUUUAUGUCCAAAUUUGUGAAAAGCAUUGAAUCUUCCGAAUUGAUGAUAUAACUCAUGAAAAGUGAUAUUUGCUCCAUCACAUUCUCCUAGACAUGUGUCAUCGUUAGUUAAAAAUACCUCCUUGAUUUUUUGAUGAUCCCAUACAACUGGGACUAAAAUGUUCUUAUCAGGUAUAUCCCUUCUCUUAAAACAUAUUUCAGUACUCUCGUAACAAAUCAACACCUCUUCAAUGGUAGGAGUCAAUUCAACAUCCCCAAAGCGAAAUACCAUAUUCUGAUCAUCCCAAAAAGUUGUUAGUACAUGGAUCAUUUCAGGCCAAACGUCCAUCUCGAUCAAAGAAGAGAGAUGCCCGAUGGGUAUUCUAACAAUCUUUCUCUCUUCUGCGCUCAUGUGAUCCCACCAUAAUUUUAAGAAAUCGUCGGGUUUAGUAACCAUCUUGAACUUUUUAUGGGAAUUUAGUUGAGCCAUAUCCUACGCGAAAGCAAAUAAAGAUAAGCCUUCCCCUGACCCCAAAGGGCAAUGGAUUGAAUUAGACAAGCAUAUAUUUUUUCAACACAUAAAUAUGAUUCAUCUAUAAUUGACUCGGGGUCAAUAGACGCAGAUUUUCUAAUGGGCCCAAUAUCCCGCUCGGGUAUUGGGUCGUCCUAGGCUCAUGCCUAAAAUAGGGUUUUGGUUUCGUUCUAUCCAUGGUGUCUAGAGUGGGUUUGAACAUUGGUUCUCAAGCGAACAACUUGAGUUUGAAAAUACGAACAACCAUCAGACGACUCACGUGCUAAUAAGUUGUUCGUAUUUCCAACACAUUUUGGAAUUGAACAACAGGGCUGGGACAUCCAUGAAACCCCAAAACAGUUUAAAUAAUGCAGGAAUAUACCAUGAGAUGAGAUAGUUAUACUUUACAGAAUUGAAACAUAUAAACACAUAAAGAGUUAAUCAAAAGAUGGAAUCAAACAUUUGGUUAGAACCUACUUAAAAAAUCCCCAGCAGAGUUGCCAUUUCUGUUUGCGGAGAAAGUUUGACUUUUUCAGAAGAGUCGCCACUUAAUUUUGAAAAGGAAUUAAGAAACCUUUAUAAAGUACUUUGAAUGAUCCAAAAUAGAAAAAUCGUUCUAAGUUAGAGAUUCUGAAUAAGCGAUUUCUAUUAACGUUUUAGGAAGGUGUUAGGCACCUAAAACGUCCUCUAACUUGUGGUUAUCCAGACUGUUUGAAAAUGUCUUUUGAUUAACUUCAAAAAGAUUAAUUUGUUGAAAAGUAGUUGAUUAAGAAAUUUUUUUUGCAAAAUCAGUUUUUUAGAGACUUAGUUAGGGAUUCAACUAGGUUCGCAAGAAAUAUGUAAACAAGUAAAUGAAAGGAAAAGUGGAGAAAAAUGGGUAAGUAGUGAUUUAGGCUUUCAAGCCCAAGCCAUCGGCCCUGUACUAAUCUAGUUGGGAAUUUUGACCCAUUUUCACAUGUCCUAAUUCUAUGUUUUCGAGCCCUUUUGGAUCGAGCUUGCUUCACCCGUAUUAAGUAAAACUUUGGCUUCGAGGCCCAAAAUACAUGAAUAUUGAAAUGAAGAAAUAAUAAAAUAAAUAAAGACAACAACAAGUAAAUGAAUAAAAUAACAAAUGAGACUUUUGAGUCUCUUAGCAGCUUCAAAGAUGGAUUCCGAUCCAAUUAUUUGCUCUCAAUUCCUUGCAUUCACAUGGCAUGUAAUUGAUUUGGACUUUCUUUCAGGAUUUGACUCGAAAGGUAGGCUUCAUUGGCCCAUGAUGGACAUGAGAAGGGAAGAGAGUCCGUGUGGGACUCGAGUGUACCCAUAUGCCAAAAGGAAAAAUAAAGAAAUUAAAGUAUGCUAAAAUGUGUAUAAAGACUAGGAUAAAUUGAACGGACUAUCACUAAUCGUAAAAGCAAGCAACACUGAAAACUUAAAUUAAACAUUGGUAUUAAUAAAAUGCACAAAAAGACCAACAUUUGACGUUUGAACUAAAUGCAUGAAAAAGGCUAUCAUUUAUGCUAGACCUGAUGCGGAAAAAAUAAGUAUAGAGAAUCUACAGAAAUGUGAGGAAAUUACCCCCUUAUAUUUUAAAUAAAUAUCAAUGAUUAAACAAAUACCAAUAAAUCAAGACAGGGAAGUUCAGAGAAAAAUCCCAUCAGGAAAUAUCUAAAGCAAGACAUUCAGAUAGUAGUUCAAACAAGGAUAGAAGAAACUUGCAGAUUCAGUGAUAAAGAAAGAUUUUUUUCCGGAUGAACAACAAAUAAAUAAAAGGAAAUUAUAAAGGAUUGCAAAACAUUCUGCCAAUUUCGGACUUAGCAUGCACUUGUUUAAAGCUUGCUAUCAUUUUUCACUAAGGAAAAAAUCUUAUAGAACCUUAGAAUCAAGCUAUUCAAGCAGACAAUGCACCCAUGCCAAACAAAAUUGAUUCGAAAUCACCCUAAGUUUUUCUCUACGUUAACAUUCCUAAAGAUCCAUAAUAUUAUAGUAUUUUAACUACUUCUUCCAAAGAAAG
rnacentral:lncRNA from 1 species